ensembl:lncRNA
AUGAAGAAUGUCAAGUAUUAUUACUUGAAUUUCAACAUUAGCUGGAAAAAAAAAAAAAGAAAAAAAAAAACAGAAACCAUGAAGGUAAAAUUGUCUGCAGUGGAAACAGGAAGGAAAAAAAAGAAGAAGAAAAAAAAAAAAGGAAAGCCAAAACCACUGCUAGUGGCAGUGAGGUGUUUUCAGCUGUGGGUGAACUGUUCCAAGGACCGAGUGGAAGUCUUUCAUGACCAUCUGAGACUAACCACUACAGACGUCUCCUGCCAGGUUUUACAGAAGGAAAAACAAAGAAUAAAACGCAGAGCCCUAAUGGAGGGGAACUGAUGAGCGCAUCACCUCUGCUGAGCUCAUAAGAAUCUCCUGGUAAGAGCAGAAGCUUUUGUGGUUUUUGAAAAUAAAAAAGAUUCAAAUUAUCAUGUCUCAGAGCACCAGAAACCCCCAAGCUAAUAGGGGUGAAGACAGAGGGCUCUGGAUAAAUAGGUCAUUCCAUCAUCAUCAAUUAUUGUGUCUCUCACAAUUUUCUCUGCAGCCUGUCUCUCAGACACUAUCCCAGAUAGGGCACGGAGCUCCCUGCACUCCACGUUUCAGCCAGCGUGGCAACUUACUGCCUCCUUCAGAAGGCUUUGCUAUUUUAAAACCACAACACAGUGUUCCCUUGGCUUGAAAGGCGACCACCAGCUUAGCCACAGCGGAACUGUUGCAACACCCUGGGAGAUGAAAGCAGUUCAAAACGUUUGGUUUUAUUGGACAAAUUAAAAAUAACCAAACAAGUUCUUUCCUUUACUUCCUUUAACUCUGCCCCUGCCUGCUCCCCUCCUAGGCUUUUGAACUGUCUUCAGAAAUGCAAGAAUUUGACUGGGCAACCUGGAAUAAAGCCUUGCGUGAGAGAUGGAGGAACAGCGGUACAGCACUGCCUGCGGGCAGGAGCACCCAAAGCCCCGCUCUUCCCAGGGCACCCAGCCAGCACAGGGUGCAGGACUGAAGCCCCCAAUGGCCACUGCCCUCUGACUCAAGCUGGAUCCACAUCACUUGGUUUUUGUUUCUGCCACCUCUUCACAUCACAGUGUACCACAACUGAUGGGGCUCCUACAGCUGCAGGAGCCGCUGCCGUGCGGCUCAUCCAUCUCCAAAUUCCAGCCAGCACGCUUCGUGCAGCAUCAGGAGGGAGCAUGCAGGGAGCUGCAAGAGCAGGAGACGGAGACUAAAAGUGGAUGUUGACUUCAUCCCGUUGGUGUAGGCAGUGGAGGUGGGCGGCCACGAGCAGAGGGGAUGCGGAGGGGGCAAUGUUUAUUUCCAGCUGCACUCUUGUGCAGUUUCUCUCAGCGCUGAGAUUUUUGAGGAAACAGCGGGAGGUGGGGAGCAGGGGGAAUCAGAAAGGAAAAACGGAGAGUCCUUGCAGAAAAGCAGGCUAAGGAAGAGAAGUCAUCCUCAAUCCAGAGCUGAGAUUCUGCUCGUUGCUUCUUGUUUUAAAAAUACAACCAAAGCCAAGAUGCUGGAACUCCAUUUCUGAAUCGGACACAGCUGCGUCUGAUGGAAAUAAGGCCACUUGACAGAGGCACACCGUGACGUGGGCUUACAAAAGGAUGCUAAGAAGUGCUGCUCGCAGCAAGCCUGCCUCCUAAUAAUUGCAAGGUUUUCUUCACUCCCAGAGAUUAUGUAAUAUGUUCCUGCCUGCUGCUGACUCAUAUUUUUCAAAAUAUAUCUGGGAAGGAAAACAUAUGCACAUGUGUUUUAAUAUAUUUGUUUCCCUGCAUAUGUAGAGAUAAAUAU